CUAAUUUCACCCUAAACGCCACAAUUCACGUUCUCUGCGUAACGUACAAUAAUUGUGUGGCAAUGAUAAAAUAAAUCAAUCUGUGCAUCAUUUAUCAUUGUUUAUUAGCUAUAAGGUAUGGGCAUAUUUUAUGCAAUAGGCGAAGCUAAGGGAUAAUUUUAAUUAAUCGUGAUGAAUGUACAACACUGUAUGUAUAUUUUAAGUGGCCAUUUCAUUAGGUUUCUGCUGUCUUGUAGUGUUU